CUACGGGAGGCAGCAGUGGGGAAUAUUGGACAAUGGGCGCAAGCCUGAUCCAGCAAUACCGCGUGUGUGAAGAAGGCCUGCGGGUUGUAAAGCACUUUCAAUUGGGAAGAAAAGCUUGGGGCUAAUAUCCUCGAGUCUUGACGUUACCUUUAGAAGAAGCACCGGCUAACUCCGUGCCAGCAGCCGCGGUAAUACGGGAGGGUGCAAGCGUUAAUCGGAAUUACUGGGCGUAAAGCGCGCGUAGGCGGUUUGUUAAGUCAGAUGUGAAAGCCCUGGGCUCAACCUGGGAACUGCAUUUGAUACUGGCAGACUAGAAUCUGGUAGAGGGAAGUGGAAUUCCGGGUGUAGCGGUGAAAUGCGUAGAGAUCCGGAGGAACAUCAGUGGCGAAGGCGACUUCCUGGACCAAGAUUGACGCUGAGGUGCGAAAGCGUGGGUAGCAAACAGGAUUAGAUACCCGGGUAGUC
rnacentral:rRNA from 1 species